UCUUUGGUGGCGUUGAUUUCUAAGGGCUUUGGUUGAUUAGGUUUUGUGUCGUAUUAUGGAUAAUUAGAUUCUAGGCUUUCGAUUGAUUGAUGGAUCAUUUCUGGUGUUAUUAAUGAUGCUUUUUGUUUCGAUUCGUCUGAACAAUUUAGGAGCUUUAAUUUCAUUGAUUUGCAAAAGGGGUUCUUUCUCUCUAAAAAUCAUUGGCUAGCAGAGCAUAUUGGGGUAGUUUUUCUGAUUUCCACUUAAACUUCAACAUGUGGUUGCUUGGUAUAUUGGGGGGUUUUUUCUGAUUUCGAAUCAAAACUCGACGUAUGUAUGGGGUUUGCCAUCUGUUUGCUCUGUCGGCCCUUUAAAUUCGAGAUUUUUUUUUUUUUUUUUUUUUUUUUUUUUUUUUUUUUUUUUAUAGGUAAUAUCUUUUUGAUUAGUUAAUGCUUUAAAUUCGAGAUUUACUGCAUUUUUUUCUCCUCUCGUCAUAUUUAGAUAGCUGUGUUCUGGGGCUUCCAUUUUUACAACCAACAUGCACCACGUGGAUCCGCCGACAGUUUUUUGCUCUGACACACGAACUUAGUUUCAGUUUUGUCCAUUUCUGUAUUUGCACUGCCUGACACACUUAACAGCCUAGCCAAGUAUUUAUUUGCGUUUUGUUGGUUUUCUUCCCCUGUAAAUAGAUGCUUAAUGAUUAAAAGUUAAGAUAAAAGUAGUUUUCAUGAAACCUGAGGCUGUAGCUUUGCAAGUUCUAUAUUAUUCUGGACAACCCAUUAUGCUGGAUUUUCUGUUAUGGUGCUCCCUAGUGGUCAAAGGGCGGGCUUGGGAUGUGCUAUAAACUCAGACAUCCUAGGUUCGAUUCCACGAUUGGAGAUCCCUGGACUACCUGUUACAUGAUUCUGACGGAUGGGUCGUGUAUAUGGGAUUUAAUCUGCAAAAGUGGGUCUGAAGGGCAUUGACAUGUGAGCUUGUUCAUCUCACUAUGAAGGAAGAUGGCCAGAAUUUGAAGACAAUGGAGUUCACUUUGUCAUAAAACCGAGAAAUUAAUUAAAAAUAACCUCACCAAGCAGUAAGCUUCAAUCCUACUCAUGCAACUCUGUAUAGAAACGGCGGCUCUUGGGCUGAGCCUGUCAUGGAAACGGAUAUGGGUGGCUUGUGAUUAUUCUAUUGUCCACCUGAAAUGCCAAAACAGAUCUCAAUGAGCAAUUUCAAAUAAUCUUCUUUAAUUACAAUUUCAGUGAUGUGCAUUGCCAAUAGUGAUCUGGAGUUGAGAUUCUAGCAUUUGCCUCUUUCUUUUAACAGGGCUUAUGUAGUCAGAUACUCUGCAUGUGUUAAUUGUCUAUUUUUAUUUACUCAAAAAGAAAAAUAA